AGACACUCAAGCCGAUUUCGUUAAGGCUUCGAGAGAUCCUGGGUUCGAAUCCCGGUCACCCCACCAGGAAGGGCCCUGGUUUACCAAAACCCAUCCACACCUUGGUGGUGUGUAGACCCCCCCUGUGGUGCAGGGUGUCUCUGGGGUACAAGGCUGGAGCUCUGGGCCUGCAACUGGAGAGCUUUCAAGUUCAAGAUCCAAGAUUCAAGUGGAGCUCUGGGCCUGUCAAUGGGAGAGUUCUAGAUGAUCUGUGUGGUCAAGGCAGUGGCUGUAGUUGUCACCUAGCUGUUGAGAACUCCAGUAGGUGUGUGGUGUCACCUGGCUGUUGAGGUUUCCAGUAGGUGUGUGGUGGAACAAAAACUUCUCUUCUCUUCUCUGAUCUCUGGCCCUAUCGAGGUUCUGUGAUAUGAUCCAGGCUGCCUUGGCAGUAGGGUGGUAGUGCGUCUACCACCGCAACCUUGUAAGGAUGACUUUAAAAAAAAAAGACGUCGGAGCAUGUGGUUCGGGAGGUGGUCAGCGAGCUGCGCAGGGUGAUGCAGCUGCGUUUCACUGCCACCACGCUAACCCCUGAAACCCUGUCGGCUCUGCCCACACAGCUUCUCACCGCACAGCUCAAGGCGGCUAAGCUGGAGCACUUUGUUGCCAUCUGGACGGCGGGUGGCGCGCUUUGUGAAGUGGAGGAGGUUCAGGGUGGGUCACCGAAGUUGAACUUGCGGCUGACGCUUGCAUCACCUGUGCAGGCCCCCUAGGUUCCUUUUGGGUGGCGUUUCUUUCCAGGCGCUGGCGUGGCGUAUUAUCGUCAUCAGCUUGUCUGGCGCCCAUGAGCGUAGUACUAGCUCUGGCUGGAGUGGCAGCGCCUGGGCGGCUGUGGGCCUUCCUGCACAGCGCGUCUUGCAGCGGGCUGGAGCCCGCUUAGUCAGCGCCACAUCUGGCCCGUUUAGUUUUCUGCUUGUGUCUCCUCUGCCGGUUCUCCUGGGGUGUUGCUUAAGCAACCGACUUGUGGGGGUGGGGUGGGUUUGGGCGGGGCGAGUGCGUAGCGCUGGUGUUUCCUUUUCUGGCGCGCGGUGGUGGUGGUUCUUGCGGUUAGGCUGUGGUGUAGGUUGGUGCUUGGGUUAGGUUUUGCGGUGUUUAGGUGCUGGUGUACCGGCUGCAACAUGCUUACCUGCCUUGCGGGCUGUACCAGGCGGGCAAGAGAAUUCGUCCACGGGUGACCACGGGGUGCGGGGGGUUGGGGGCGCACUGUCCUCACCCCGCCUGCGGGCCACCUGGCCCGCGGGCGUGGGCCAGCCUGACGCACAUCUUCCUGGAGUGUCCAGCUUAUGCGCAGGCGAGGACGUGGCUGCAGCAGCUGUGGGCCUGCGUUGCGCCCCAGGCAGCGGCGCCGCCAGUGACAGACGCAGGCUUCAUGCUGGGGGACCGCAUGGGUAUGUGGGCCUCAGGCCCGUGGGGGGCGGGCGCGCUGCUGUGGAGCACUUUGCGGGCCACCUUCUUGUACGCCGUCUGGUGUGCGUACUGGUCCCGCGAGCCUGCUAAGCAGGGGUGGGCGGUUCUGCUUCGAGUGGAUAGCGUCAAGGGACGAAUUCGCUCGAGGUCAUGGGUUCGACUCCCAUACACCCCUCCGAUUUCGAUCGGAAUGAAUAGACUACAGACAUGCAGUGGGCUGGACGAGUUUAGGCUUAGUUGAUUUGGCUGGAUUCAGUCCGGAAGGUUUGCUGCAGACUCCAAAAAAUUGAGUAGUUCUGAUUGGUCGGGUGACUGAGCAGGGUCCUAGCACUCGAUGUUAGGAGCAGAACCGGAGGUAAAUGGAGCUCUUACGAGAGCAAGCCUACUACUAGAGUAGGUCGUUGGCGUUGCAGGUGGCACGUCCCUGAGGUCCAGAGCAGAUGUCGCUCGCGACUCGCGUCAGCAAGUCCCUCUUGUAACCAAUGCACGUCGUGGAAGGGGGGGUCGUCUAAAUGGUUAAGACACUCAAGCCGAUUUCGUUAAGGCUUCGAGAGAUCCUGGGUUCGAAUCCCGGUCACCCCACCAGGAAGGGCCCUGGUUUACCAAAACCCAUCCACACCUUGGUGGUGUGUAGACCCCCCCUGUGGUGCAGGGUGUCUCUGGGGUACAAGGCUGGAGCUCUGGGCCUGCAACUGGAGAGCUUUCAAGUUCAAGAUCCAAGAUUCAAGUGGAGCUCUGGGCCUGUCAAUGGGAGAGUUCUAGAUGAUCUGUGUGGUCAAGGCAGUGGCUGUAGUUGUCACCUAGCUGUUGAGAACUCCAGUAGGUGUGUGGUGUCACCUGGCUGUUGAGGUUUCCAGUAGGUGUGUGGUGGAACAAAAACUUCUCUUCUCUUCUCUGAUCUCUGGCCCUAUCGAGGUUCUGUGAUAUGAUCCAGGCUGCCUUGGCAGUAGGGUGGUAGUGCGUCUACCACCGCAACCUUGUAAGGAUGACUUUAAAAAAAAAAAGACGUCGGAGCAUGUGGUUCGGGAGGUGGUCAGCGAGCUGCGCAGGGUGAUGCAGCUGCGUUUCACUGCCGCCACGCUAACCCCUGAAACCCUGUCGGCUCUGCCCACACAGCUUCUCACCACACAGCUCAAGGCGGCUAAGCUGGAGCACUUUGUUGCCAUCUGGACGGCGGGUGGCGCGCUUUGUGAAGUGGAGGAGGUUCAGGGUGGGUCAACGAAGUUGAACUUGCGGCUGACGCUUGCAUCACCUGUGCAGGCCCCCUAGAUUUCCUUUUGGGUGGCGUUUCUUUCCAGGUGCUGGCGUGGCGUAUUAUCGUCAUCAGCUUGUCUGGCGCCCAUGAGUACUAGCUCUGGCUGGAGUGGCAGCGCCUGGGCGGCUGUGGGACUUCCUGCACAGAGCGUCUUGCAGCGGACUGGAGCCCGCUUAGUCAGCGCCACAUCUGGCCCGUUUAGUUUUCUGCUUGUGUCUCCUCUGCCGGUUCUCCUGGGGUGUUGCUUAAGCAACCGACUUGUGGGGGUGGGGUGGGUUUGGGCGGGGCGUGUGCGUAGCGCUGGUGGUUUCUUUUCUGGCGCGCGGUGGUGGUGGUUCUUGCGGUUAGGCUGUGGUGUAGGUUGGUGCUUGGGUUAGGUCUGGCGGUGUUUAGGUGCUGGUGUACCGGCUGCAACAUGCUUACCUGCCUUGCGGGCUGUACCGGGCGGGCAAGGGAAUUCGUCCACGGGUGACCACGGGGUGCGGGGGGUUGGGGGCGCACUGUCCUCACCCCGCCUGCGGGCCACCUGGCCCGCGGGCGUGGGCCAGCCUGACGCACAUCUUCCUGGAGUGUCCAGCUUAUGCGCAGGCGAGGACGUGGCUGCAGCAGCUGUGGGCCUGCGUUGCGCCCCAGGCAGCGGCGCCGCCAGUGACAGACGCAGGCUUCAUGCUGGGGGACCGCAUGGGUAUGUGGGCCUCAGGCCCGUGGGGGGCGGGCGCGCUGCUGUGGAGCACUUUGCGGGCCACCUUCUUGUACGCCGUCUGGUGUGCGUACUGGUCCCGCGAGCCUGCUAAGCAGGGGUGGGCGGUUCUGCUUCGAGUGGAUAGCGUCAAGGGACGAAUUCGCUCGAGGUCAUGGGUUCGACUCCCAUACACCCCUCCGAUUUCGAUCGGAAUGAAUAGACUACAGACAUGCAGUGGGCUGGACGAGUUUAGGCUUAGUUGAUUUGGCUGGAUUCAGUCCGGAAGGUUUGCUGCAGACUCCAAAAAAUUGAGUAGUUCUGAUUGGUCGGGUGACUGAGCAGGGUCCUAGCACUCGAUGUUAGGAGCAGAACCGGAGGUAAAUGGAGCUCUGACGAGAGCAAGCCUACUACUAGAGUAGGUCGUUGGCGUUGCAGGUGGCACGUCCCUGAGGUCCAGAGCAGAUGUCGCUCGCGACUCGCGUCAGCAAGUCCCUCUUGUAACCNNNNNNNNNNNNNNNNNNNNNNNNNNNNNNNNNNNNNNNNNNNNNNNNNNNNNNNNNNNNNNNNNNNNNNNNNNNNNNNNNNNNNNNNNNNNNNNNNNNNUGGGCCUGCAACUGGAGAGCUUUCAAGUUCAAGAUCCAAGAUUCAAGUGGAGCUCUGGGCCUGUCAAUGGGAGAGUUCUAGAUGAUCUGUGUGGUCAAGGCAGUGGCUGUAGUUGUCACCUAGCUGUUGAGAACUCCAGUAGGUGUGUGGUGUCACCUGGCUGUUGAGGUUUCCAGUAGGUGUGUGGUGGAACAAAAACUUCUCUUCUCUUCUCUGAUCUCUGGCCCUAUCGAGGUUCUGUGAUAUGAUCCAGGCUGCCUUGGCAGUAGGGUGGUAGUGC
rnacentral:lncRNA from 1 species